AACCUCUCAGGGUCACACCUGGAGAUUUCCCAGAACUCUACCAGCUUCGACUAAGGGAGGGAGAGUCAAGCAGAGGCAUAUCCAUUCCAUUCCUAGUUUGGGCAGUGGCUAGUGAUUGGGAGAGAAUCUGCUACAAGU